CAAAAGUUUGUUUGCCAUUGUUGGCCAUUGAAGAGGUUACCCAUCUUUGAACCAGAUCUAGAAAACGAUCAAUGUCCACGUAAGGGAAUGGAAACAUGAGAAUUUCUGUCCCAAUCUGCUUUGGAUUUGAGCUUCAUACACAUAUAUGUAUAUGUAUAUGUAUGCAAUAUCAGUUGUAUGUAUAGGGUUCAUUAUUUGGUCUGAUGGGUUGUGAAUGAUGAUUCUAGUUCUGGUGAUUCGCUAGGGCUGUUGAGAAGCUCGAUGGUGGCGAAUUGUUGAUGGCAGAGAGAUAAUAGUUCAAUUUGCCCAGGACGGACCGAAUGUUGAUCGAAUUCACAAAGGGAGGGUACUCGAACCAGUAUCAAGGUCACAAGGCAGAUCAAGAAGGCGUAGUCCCUGGCCGAGGUCUAGGGGUGAAUUAAGGGACAGGGAUUAUAAGAGGAGAAGUUGUAGCAGAAGUAGGGAUAGAAAUGACUGUGAAAGGCACAGGGGAAAGGAAAGAGAUUAUCGUUAUCAUAGCAGGAGCCGUAGUGGAAGCCCUGUUUUAUCACAAAAACCGUGGGAGAGGCAGAUAUGAUGAGAUGAGAGACGUAGCCAGAGUUGGCCUUAUGGAAGGAGUAAGGGAGCACCAGACCGUGUGAUGGACCUUUGACCUAAAUGUAUCAUGUUUUACUGCAUUCCUUCUGUAGGGGAUACUUUCAGAUUUGCCAGUAUGAUGAAUGCUAGAAUUGAUUGCUCUAGGCGUAUUUCUAAGUUGCCAACAUGGCUUUAAGCUGAUACCAGUUCAUUAUCUUAAGCAAAAAUAUCGUGGCUGUAGCUGUAAAAUGAUAGCUGAUAUCUUUAUAGAUCGGUUGUUGCUGCACUUCCUGCUGAUAACUAUCGAAUCUGAUGCUACUGUUUUUGGUGUUGAUGAGUAAUGCUUGGUAGUUGGUAUGCUAGCUGUGUUGCAGCUGUCUCCAGUAGAUGUGCUCUCUUUCUUUGCCUUCCAAUUGCAAAAUGCUAAGGUGCCCCAGUAUGAAGCAUUGAAGGCGCUAAAUUUGUGGUUAGAUCUUAAUCUGGGGAGCGCCUGGCAUUUCAUUCCAUUAGGUUUUCAUGCUCUGGAAUAUUAGGCGUUGGGCAUUGCUGGUUUUUGUGGUUUAUGACGAGUUCUGAGAUCUUCACUACUGUAGUGACCUUUCCUGUUAUGUUCUUGUAGGCUCAUUUGCAGUUUUUUGUUUUGCUGAUAUUUAGGGGUUUUGUUGUCGAGGGAAGGUAAUAGGAGAGGUUGCAUCACUAUUACUUGCACAAUUUCACUAUUAAUUGCAGCACUUUUUGUUUUGCUGAAAUAUUAUGUUAUAUAAUAUUUUUUUUUUUCAUGUUUAUUUUUGUUUUAGCAGUCCUGAUUUUGUGAUUGAUAUGGUUGUUGCUGUUGCAUGAUCACUUAUAAAUUUUGCAUGAAUUCUGGUGUUUUAUAUCGAGUACAAUUAGUUUUUACGUGUUUUAUAGAGCAGUAGUUUAGA